rnacentral:rRNA from 1 species
GAUGAACGCUGGCGGCGUGCCUAAUACAUGCAAGUCGAGCGAACAGAUGAGGAGCUUGCUCCUCUGACGUUAGCGGCGGACGGGUGAGUAACACGUGGAUAACCUACCUAUAAGACUGGGAUAACUUCGGGAAACCGGAGCUAAUACCGGAUAAUAUAUUGAACCGCAUGGUUCAAUAGUGAAAGACGGUUUUGCUGUCACUUAUAGAUGGAUCCGCGCCGCAUUAGCUAGUUGGUAAGGUAACGGCUUACCAAGGCAACGAUGCGUAGCCGACCUGAGAGGGUGAUCGGCCACACUGGAACUGAGACACGGUCCAGACUCCUACGGGAGGCAGCAGUAGGGAAUAUUCCGCAAAGGGCGAAAGCCUGACGGAGCAACGCCGCGUGAGUGAUGAAGGUCUUCGGAUCGUAAAACUCUGUUAUUAGGGAAGGACAAAUGUGUAAGUAACUAUGCACGUCUUGACGGUACCUAAUCAGAAAGCCACGGCUAACUACGUG